GGCAAAUGCACUCUGUGUCACAUUGAAUACAAUCCACAUGUGAUGACAAUUUGUUAGUUUGCUAAAUUAAGUGGGAGAGGAGCGUCUUAUCCAUGUGAUCAAACUCAAAACAAUUGGAGAUCACAUUGAAAACGCUCCUUACACGAC